rnacentral:snRNA from 1 species
AACCUUGCACUGGAGCAUAUCCAUACCUGUGAAGUAAUAACUGAGGCUGGAUUAUUGCUGAUUGAAAACUUUUAACCAAUCACCGCGAGACGACUACCCUUUGAGGAGUCGGCUUCGCAAUUUUUGGAGCGACCUCUGGUC